CGAAGAUUCGGGCCAGCGGCGGGGGUAUUAGGAAGGGGGUUGGCGUUGUUCGGAAGUACUGGGCGUAAGGCGCGGGUAGGCGGUGAUCUUUGUCAGAGGUGAAAUCCCGAGGCUCAACUUCGGAAUUGCCUUUGAAACGGGAGCGCUUGAGUCCGAGAGAGGAUGGCGGAAUUCCUAGUGUAGAGGUGAAAUUCGUAGAUAUUAGGAAGAACACCGGUGGCGAAGGCGGCCAUCUGGCUCGGUACUGACGCUCAGGCGCGAAAGCGUGGGGAGCAAACAGGAUUAGAUACCCUAGUAGUC
rnacentral:rRNA from 1 species